rnacentral:rRNA from 1 species
AUUGAACGCUGGCGGCAUGCCUUACACAUGCAAGUCGAACGGUAACAGGUCUUCGGAUGCUGACGAGUGGCGAACGGGUGAGUAAUACAUCGGAACGUGCCCGAUCGUGGGGGAUAACGAGGCGAAAGCUUUGCUAAUACCGCAUACGAUCUACGGAUGAAAGCGGGGGAGCUUCGGACCUCGCGCGGACGGAGCGGCCGAUGGCAGAUUAGGUAGUUGGGGGGAUAAAAGCUUACCAAGCCGACGAUCUGUAGCUGGUCUGAGAGGAUGAUCAGCCACACUGGGACUGAGACACGGCCCAGACUCCUACGGGAGGCAGCAGUGGGGAAUUUUGGACAAUGGGCGAAAGCCUGAUCCAGCCAUGCCGCGUGCAGGAUGAAGGCCUUUGGGUUGUAAACUGCUUUUGUACGGAAAGAAAAGCCUCUUUCUAAUCAAGAGGGGUCAUGACGGUACCGUAAGAAUAAGCACCGGCUAACUACGUG